AUGGCGGCGAUUAUGCGGAAAUGAAAUUGAAUGUUACUUCGAACACGUUCCUCUACAAAAUAACCGACCUGUAUUUAGUGUUAUUGCUUCAACCUCAAUCAAAAAAAAAUGGCAUCAAUGUAUGCGUCUAAAAAUGUUAAAUUUAGAUGGAAACAAUCCAGAAAUGAGCUGCCAGGAAGUGAUCGAUUUCGGACACGAAGGUACAUUAGUCUGAAAUAAUAGACGUGUUUUACGGGAUUCUUCCAAUCCCUAACGUCUAAACGGGUUUGUGCAAAAAGCGGGAGUGUUUGGAAAAUAUUGAAAUUGUAUUAAAUGAAGUAGUUUAUGGUUGAAAUAGAUAAUUAAGGUUUAUAUUCAUAUUUUACCAUGGAAGUGCAAAGCUAUUUUGCCAAAAAAGCAUUUAAUGCAUUAAAACACAGUUUUUACCAUUCCAUUGAAAGGAAAGUUGACUGACACAGACAACAAUUAUGCCAAGCGGAACAACUUGACCCAAUCGUUAUAACUCGGCCACCGACAAGCUUCGAGAUAAUACAAUCAUAACAACUUGGCCAUGGCCGAACAAUGGGAACACCUAGGCCAGUAUCCAACAGGAAUUGACUAUCUCGAAGCUUACAGAAGAUGGCGAGUUGUUACAAUUGAUGGCCGAAAUGUUCCGAUUGUUGUAAAAUUGUGAACUGCAGCCUUGCAGGUGCCCUUCAUGUAUAUAUUGUUAUGUUUUGACAGAAUGAAAUGAAGAAAAAACCAUCAAACUCAUAAUUAUUUGCUGGAUAUUACUUUUUGGUUACGGAAUUUAUUUAAAAUAACAUUAUCUGGUAAUAUUUCUUGUUUUUAUGAAAUGUUAUAGACGCAAUAUGCUUUAACCCCGGAAUCCCGAUUGGAAUAACUACCCACUUGUCGUACAAAACAAUUUGUACAUGAAGGAUUUGUUGUGUCAAUAAUCGUUAAAAAAAUCUGUCAACGUACAAUUAUUUGGACUAGAAGGUACAUCUAGCUGAUCCACAUCUCUUAGUCUAAAUAUUUGUAUAUUGACAGACUCUUUUUACGAUUCCAAAAAAAUAUAUACAUAUAUUUACAUUAUAUAAAUAUGGCAAAUCCUUCAUUACAACAUCUUCAUGUUACUUUCAAUUCAGAGUUGAUUAUUCACUAAAAUUAUUUUGCAUUUUUAAUUGUUGUUUAACCUGAAACGUCUCAACCAUCAAAAAAGAACAUAUGUGCUUCAAUAGUCUAAAAAAAUAGAUGUGUUAUAUGGGAUUCUUACAAUCCCUUACGUCUUAUCGGGUUUGUGCAAAACAGGUGGGGGGGGUUGAAAGAUAUUGAAAUCGUAGUUAGGUAAGUAUUAUAUGUUUGAAAUAGAUAUUAAAGGUUUAUAUUCGUAUUUUAGUUAUAACCAUGUAAGUGCAAAUAUUUUUUUCACAAAACAAGCAUUUAAUGCAUUUGAAACACAACCAUUUUACCAAGCAUAGCAACUGGACCAUCUCAGGUUAACUUCGAGAUAGACCAUUCACCUUUUGUAUAUAUAAUUUUAACAACUUGACCAUGGCCAAAAGGCUCUGAUUGUUGUAAAUCUAUGUACCACAGCCUUGCAGGUGCUCUUCAUGUACAGUACACUCAACGAGUUAGACCCACUUUCCUCGCUCACUCCGAGGGAUAAAGUCGAUGAUUGCGGGUUUCCUCCGAGGGUAAAACUGUUGCCCUUGCUAAAAUCCCCCCCGAGUUCCUCCGAGUGGCUGGCUUACCGCCGAGUUUAAUAUGAACGAUAGCGUUGAGAAUCGUCCGAUUUUAUGAUCAUGUGGCGGAACUCCGAGUCUAAUCAGAUAAGCAAGAAAUCACUCUUGUUUAGAAGUUAUUUAUUUUUAUGCUUAUGCACAUUGUAAAGCGUAAAAGAUACUUACAUGUACCAACGUUUAAUUUGUGUAAAUUGGCACUAAUUGAUUACCCCCUUUGUGGCCCCAAUUAGGCACAAGCUUUGUGACAACACAAAUUUUAAUAUUGUAAAGUUAGUAGACCUUGACCCCUAGUUUAAUAAAAUGUAAGUAUUAUUUCCGUUACAUUUCGAUCUACCGAGAAAAUCUUCAAAAACAUGCAAAAACUGCCGGCUACUGCUCUCCAACCAGUACAUGUGUCGAUUUUUUUUAUCAAGUGUCCCGAUAUCUGUAAAUCUGGGACAAAUCUGACAGGUUGUGUACAUGUAUAACGGUAUUAGUGACCAAGAAUAUAUUUAUGUGAAAAUAACGACUCUAAUGACAAAUUAAAUCCAGUUUAGAUCACUGUCGGGUAUAUAUUGAACAACUUUGUCAUUAUUAUUCAACAUCGAUGCAUAAUAUAACUAUUUAUUCUUUCGCUCAGUGUAAUUAUUCUUUCGCUCAGUGUUAAAUGGCAGAGAGUUGUAGCGUUAUAGGGAUACGUAAGAAAUGUCAAAAUAAUAAUAAAAAAGAAUCGUUGAUUGCUCAUUAUUGUAGCUAGUCAAAAAGUAUUUUUAAAAUAUCCAGAGCAGCCAGAAGGUAAGCGAAAGCUCUAUUGGUCACAGUUGGUUCUGAAAACAGUGCAGCUAGUAAUGGGCUAUUUAAAAAAAAACGGUUAGAAAAGUUGAAAAAUGGUCUAAAUUUAAAUCAUCAUUAAAUACAAGGCUGUAUGCCUAGUUUUGAUGAACAAUCUUUGUAGUGUACAAAAUAGGUUUUGUAUAGAGAAAACAACUCAUAUUUACAUUUUUAUCAAACUUUUAUCUAACUAAACAUGGAUAAAAACACACAAUACAUGAACACUUUCAAUGUCAUUUUUUCUUGAAAUAAACUGAGUUAACAUGUCUACCAAUUAUUCUUUUAGUAGCUCUUAUGGCAGCAUACAUUAAUAGAAUGUUGAAUUUACUCAGUCGCUCAAAAUUUCUGAAGAAUUUGAUUUUUGUACUUUUUUUACCGAUGAAAUGUAAUAUUCAAAGGUAUUUUUUUUAUUUUCUAUUUAAAUUGUGCAAUUAAACUAAAAAAAAUACAUUUUCAUAGAAUUCAAACAAUAACAAGUAACAUUAACAAAGACAUCAUAGGAGGCAUUAUGAUUUCACGCAGCAAAAAUAAAAACAGGAACAAUAUUUUAAGAAAUUGUUACACUCCUGACAUAUGUAGAUUACAACCAUUAAAUAGAUUUCACUUAAAAUUUCUCGGUGUAAAUCAAAAGACAUGCAAUUACAAAGUAAUUGAUAGCCAGUGAAACAUUAUAAAACAAAUUUAGCAUUGACACAUUGCGAUUUUACAUAAUUUGAGAAAGGUUUUUCAAAACCAUACAAAAAGUCUACUGUUACUUAAUUCUUGCUCAACUUGUAAAAAAUUGCAAAACUCUUGAAAUAACAGUAAAGCACUACAACAGUUACACUUUUAUUUCAUUUAACUAAGUGUAUUCAGUGUAAGUAACUAAAUACAACUGAUUCAAAUUGUUACACUCCUGACAAAAUAUUUCAAGUUCAAGUUAUUAUGUAUCAAAUUUCAAUUUUAACCCCAAACUGAGACAUAAGUGUUGGCAGUGAUAGUUUUCUUAGUAUAUCAUGCUUGGAAUGUCCAUGAUAUAUCAUCUGCAUUUGAUUAUGUGUACAUCCCAUUGAAGGUAGCUCACUGCAUUAAUCUAAUCUAAAUAUCUGAGCCAUCCACUUUUAAGACAUAUUCAUCAGAAAGUCAUAUUUCACAACAUGUUCAUAAAAUAUCUGUCCUAUCAUAUAUGAUGAUUAAUAUAACUGGUAAUAAUAUAAAUUUAUUGCACAUCUACUGUUGAAUAUUUAUUUUACCUUUAAGUCAGACUUAUACUAAUACAGUGGCAUUGACAUUCGCAACACUUUAAAUAUAUUGUGGCCACAACUUAGUAAACGGUGUCACCAACUUAGUAACUUGAGGCCAAAACUUAGUAACUUAAUUGAGGCUGCAACUUAUAAAAAUGUGGCAACAAUUAGUUACUUGUGACCACAACUAAGUAACUACCAUUAAUUAUUUUGUUGUGGCCACGAUUUAAUAAGUCAUGGCCACACGUUACUAAGUUGUGCCCUCAAGUAACUAAGUUGUGGCCACAAUAUAAAUAAAGUGAUGUCAUCUCUGUGUCACUGUAGAGACUUCUUUCUGCAUUAACUGUCAAAUUAUCAGCCACAAAAUUAUCCGGUACAAAUUGAAAGUAAUGGCUCAUACAGAUUAUGAAUAGAGUCCACACCCCAGUUCUCACAGUCCCAGGUAUAGGGUCAAAAGGACAUUGUCAUAUUGAUAUGUCAGACAGAUCUCUAUGGUCUGUUAAUUUACCUGGGCUGCCUUUUUCGACACAUUUAUAAAAAUCAGCUGUUCUAGACAUCAGUUUUGAACUUUGCAAAUGGCGUUUAGGUACUGGUACAUGACUUCCAUUUAUAUGCAUGGUGUCUUUUUUGUUGGGCAUGAUUCUUGAAUUCCUUUCAAGGUGUACAGCUUAUCUUCCCAAGCUGCUGGUUUUGACAGUGUACUUUUCAAUUGAGUAUCUUUCCUCUUCUUGUAUCUAUUUAAACAUGACAUUCUUCUGGCCAGACUAAUUUUCUUGUUUGCAGAUGCCAACUUACUUUUGACAUUUUUGUUCUCAUACUUUUGGAUGGCCAACUUUGCUUACUUCAAGUGUUUACUCCACAACUUCAUCUUUGUCAACCAGCUUUGAUCAUCUGUUAGCAGUUGCCUAAUUCGAUAAGUCUUGACCCAAGCUCUGGGGUUUUCUAAAAGAUUCUUCAUAACUUGGCUAUUUUUCUGAUUUUUGCUUGCUUCUUGUGUUUUCUGUGUUUUCUUUUUUCAUUUUCAUUUUUUAAAAGUUAAUAUUGUCAUUUUUAAGAUUUUCUCCGUAUUUCCUAAUUCUUUCCUCUGAUGUUCUUUUAAUGACUUUCUUCCUCGUAUUUAAACUUUUCUUGUUUCUUAUUGCCCCUUUAAAACCUGGAAGCCUACAAUUAAUUUGUCCCUAUUUCCUAUGAUAUUUCCUCUGUAAAAGAAUUAUAUUCACACUCAUAACCAAUAUUUGGUCAGGAGUGUAACAUUGAAGGACAUGUCAACAGUCAUGCUGUAAAUUAAAGUCACAUAGUUUUAAAUGAAUUAAAUUAUAGAACAGGGUCAUCAGUUUGCCUCAUUGUAGCAAAAAAAUACCAUUUGUUGAUUGAAGGUCACUGUAUGAUUUUUCUAUUAGAUGCAUAGUAAUUAAGUUGUUUUAAAUUCAAACAUUUUUGAUAACAUUUUUAAGCAUGGAAUUGGUUUAAACUUACCCUAUUUACAUCAGAUUGAAAAUGAAUCCUUCACUUCUCUUUUGAAAUCUUAACAUUUGUAGAAUUAUACUGUAAUACUUCUGAAAAUGACGAUAUAAUAAUAUGCCAAGCCAAAAAUUCGCAAAAAAAUGUUACACUCCUGAUGGGCACGUAUCAUCUAAAUGCUCAGUAACCAUCCAUUAUUUUCAGUCAUGAUAAUUUCUUAUGAUCACUCCCAAGACAUAGACUUCCAGGAAACACCCUAAUUAGUACAUUUGUUAACUGUUCGCCAACACUGUGUUUCAUUUUAUACCAAAUGUUACACUCCUGACAUUUUUAGGCCAGCUUCUUUCUAGAAAGCUAAACAUCAAAAAGAGUAAUAACACACACAAAAUAUUGUACACAUGGAAUAAUGAUAUAUUAUCCUAAACUUUAAAUAAAUAAAUUGUAAGUUAUAUGAUAAUUCAUCAGAGCUUUACUUUAAAAAGAGUUUGUUUUUUUUAAAAUGUGGAAAAAUUCCUAACACACAUUAUCAUUAUCAGUAAUAUUUUAUGCAUAAAUAAUGGAAUAUUGCUUAAAUUUUUAUAUUACCUUGAGGUCAACAUAUGUGUUUUUUUUUGUUAAUAAGGUUAUCACAUUGUCAUUUGCCAAUGUUGUUUACAGUAAUGCUUUUAAUUGAGUCCUUUUUGUAAAGUGUCACGUUUUUUUGUUACACUCCUGAAAAUUUUGGCAUGUGUUUUGUGCAUAACUUUUUUUCCGCUGAAGCUAAUUUAGUCAAACUUCCCAGACUUUUAGAUGACACAGAAAUACAAGAUAAGAAGAAGAAAUGAUGAUAAUUUGUAUAUUAUUCAUUUUAUUUAGGAUAUACUCAAACUAGCCAUUUUUUUUUUAAAUAGCCCUAAUGGGACUUGGACUGGGGACUCCCUGUUUGCAAGUGUGUGCUUUAUCAACUUGGCUCAAAGGCCAUUAGAACUUAAAAUAACUUGAAGCUUGCAGUUGAAUUGUUCAACCAGCUCUACAAACUGUUCCUGAUAACUUAAUUUGCAAACAAUCUGACCUGUGUGGGUUAGUACUGGGACACACUCAUGAACCGUAUAAUAUUAGUACGGUAAACCUGGGUGCAAAAGUGGGACAGGUUCAGAUCUUGAACCCCACGACUGAUGAAUACUUGAGCUCAAGCAAUGGCUUUAUUAAAACAGAAAUCACCUUGCAUUUAAAGAAAAAUGUCAACCAUAUUUUAAGCUUCAGAAAGAAAACAGCCUGUUUAUAAAUAAAUAUAUUAUUCAUUUUUAGCUCUACUGGCCAAAGGCCAGAAGAGCUUAUGCGAUGGUAAUGUGUACGUAGUAUGUGCGUCCGUGCGGUCGUGCGUCUGUAAACAAUUGCUUGUGAACACGAUACAGUCUUCAGUUUUGAUUGUAUCUCGAUGAAACUUGUACAGUAUUUAGAUAUCCAUUAGAGCUGGGUUCCUUUCGAAAACCAGCCAGAUCUGCCCAUGAAUGCCUAGAUUAUGGGCCAUGAAAGUUUUAAAGAAAUGCUCUCUAUUUUUAGCCAGGUCUGCAUGAGCGAAUUCUAUUUUUAGCCAAGUUUACAUGUACAUGUAAAUUCAAGUGUAGAGUUAAGGGAGACAAUUUGCAAGUCUAGGAUUUUGAGAGACAAUUUGCUUUUUGCUUCUGCAGCUGAUUUUGUGAAUUACUCUGCCUUGUUCUUGUUGAAAGCCCAAAGGCCAUUUUUUAGCUUUAAGUUCUGUAGUUACCAUAUGCGCAUUCAUCUUAGCAAAAUUGGUUGUGAAUGUUUAAGUCAUGCACCUGGUGUCAUUACUGGCCACACCCAGGGUUCACAGGUUUGGUAAACAUAAAUCUGGAAAGGUUUAAAAAUCUUUUUGUGUGUUCGUGGAUCCAUCUCAGCACAAUUGAUUGUGAAUGUUUGUUCAAAUUGAUCAAUGUUGUCCUAGGAUGCCCUUGACUUUGACCUUUUGACCAACUUUUUUAACUUUUAAAACUACAGAAAUUUUUACUAUGAGUACAGUUUUGAAAGCAUUUUAUUUUUGUCAGAUGACUUUUACUUGGCACAUAUUAAAAUAGUUCAUGCAACUAAUCUGCUUACAAUACUUUCUGGGCUCAGAUGUUGAACGUGCUACGUUUUCAGGUAAGCCAAACACAAAACAUAAACCAUAUGUCUGUUGCCUUUUACCCAUACAUACAUGCUCUGGAUUGAUAUGACCACAAAAGCCAUGCCAGUAGAGCAUAGGCCCUUUUGGGCCUCUUGUUUAUUUCAGAUCUUGACAUGGAUCCAAGAUGCUGGUAACUAGGCGGGACGGAUUGUUUCACAGAACUGCAGGUUUCUGGAUGGAGACUCAGCGCCAUGUCACAAAUACUUCAGAACCUAGAAUGAAAGUUACCGAAAGAGCAAUAGACUUUCCAAUCUCUACAAAAUUCAUCUUAACUGUUCUUCAAGGUGAUACUUGAGACUACCAAAGACUUUUCAAGGACAGAACUCACAAAACAGUUUAUGCCACCAUCUCAUAUCAAAGGAUUGUGCUUGAGUUGAACAGCCUUCAAACAGAAACUGUUUCAACACCUUCAAUGGAUUCAAUGGAUUCAUUCUGAUUCAGUUUACUCUUGCUGUGAUCUGAGCAACUAUUUACAUCAGUUCAACAUUGUAAAUUGUUUAAACUUGAAAAUUCUGUCUUCUUGCAACUCACAUGAAUCUAUUUACUGUGGACUUUGAUGUUGACUCUAUACAGGAAGAAGAGACCAUCUUUAUACAUGCUGGCAUAUCAUUUAAAAAGGAAACAAAUUUUAUAACCAACAUACUGCACUGUUAUGUCAUCCAAGGACUCAGCUACUGACUCAAGGAAAAAAUGUCUCUGUCAAUGUAAUUACUGUUGUGCAUAAUAAGACAUUUUUUAUUAUGCCCCCUUCGAAGAAGAGGGGUAUAUUGCUUUGCAUAGGUCGGUCGGUUCCGUGAUCUUGAAAGCAAACUCGACAAUUCCUGGACCAAUGGUCAUCAAACUUGACAUAAAGGUUGGGCCUGACCAGUAGAUGACCCCUCUUAUCUUUGAGGGUCAUUGAGCCAAGGUCAAGGUCACAAUAACCUUUAAUGCAAAAAAGAUAACAAAUCUUCUCCCAGUGAUAUCAUAACAAUGCCUGAACCUAUGAUCAUCAAACUUGACAUGGAAGUUGGGCCUGACAAGGAGAUGACGCUUAUUGAUUUUAGGAGUCAUUGGGUUAAAGAUCAGGUUCACAGUGACCUUGAAUGUGAAAAUGUUUCGAGCGAUAACUUGACAAUGCCUGUACCCAUGGCCCUCAAACCUGACUUGGAGUUGUGUCUGACCUGUAGAUGACCCCUUUUCAUUUUGGGGGUCAUCGGGUCAAACGUCAAGGUCACAGUGACAUUGAUUGAAAAAAGCUUGUCUGUGUGAUAACUUGUCAAUGCCUGAAUCCAUGUCCCUCAAACUUGACAUUUAGAUUUUAGUAGACCAACUCAUAUGGAUUUUGAGGUCAUAGAGUCAAAGGUCAUGGUCAUAACACACUCUUUUCUCACAUUGGUCUUAAUCUUAAAACUGCCUCAACGGUAUCCAAUGUCAGUGACUAAUCAGCUGUCAUUUCGGUCCAUGCUUAUUUCAUUCAAUUGUUCAUAUAAUCCUGACAACAUGGCGCUCAGGUGGGGGAAUAAUGUUUGACAAACAUCUCUUGUUGAUACUUGGCUCAUUUCUUACAUGUAGCUGUAACAUUUUGGGCAACUUCUCAAUUAUUUUGUUUAAGACAUUUUUCACCCAGCUUAUCUAAGCCUAAAUUAGUGUUCAUGUUAACUUUUAUGACUGCCUGUUUAUUGUACUUUUUAUAAAUUAUUUUCAAUUAUUUUCAAUGACUUUUUCUCAAGAACCAUUUGGCUAAGUAUGUCUCCUCCUGAAAUAGACUAAUUCUUUUAGCUGGAGUUGUCUGUCUGUCCCUCUGUAACAAAUUGUGUCUGCUCCAUGUGUUGAAGGAUUUGAUAUAACUUCCCACAAAUAUACACCAUAUUGAGAGGAAGGGUUUAUUAUUAUAACUGUUGAGCAGUUUCUGAACUUGACUCUAUUAUAUCUUGCAUUUACCUCAAGCUGUUAAGUGAACAAUAUAACAUUGACCAAUACAAGGAACUAAACCUUCUAGGUCACCAUUUUGGAAUAAAGUAAUACUUAAAGCUCAUUAUUCCAUAAGAAUCUGCUCAUAUACAGUUUAAAUAGCUUAUACAAGUAUAUCAUUUCAACAUAACAUCAGAUCCUCCACUGUUUUAUGUUUGCAACAUUUUUUUAAAACUUUGAUUUAUAUAUCAUGACUUUUAUGAACAAAUACCAAACAGCAACUCACAAAUCUAUACUCAUUUGGGCAGAAUUUUGUAAAUCCAAGCAUUGUCAUUUGAUAUUCAAUGCUUUUUGGCAAAUUGGGGCAUUUUCUGUCACAUUAAAAUCAAUAUUAACAAUAAAUCUCCAACUUCAAUAUUCUCAUAUUUUUGUGCCCAUUCUUUGCCAAUUAUUUGUAUGUCUAUUGGUAUACAUGUAUGUUUAUUCAUACUGUUUGUCAAAAUAACGAAUGAAUAAAAUGUUUGAAAUAUU